rnacentral:rRNA from 1 species
AAUCAACGCUGGCGGCGUGCCUCAGACAUGCAAGUCGAACGCGAAAGUCCCCUUCGGGGGACAAGUAGAGUGGCGCACGGGUGAGUAACACGUAGGUAAUCCACCUUCGGAUGGGGAAUAACAACCGGAAACGGUUGCUAAUACCGCAUAAUGCAGCGGCACCUAAUGGUGACAGUUGUUAAAGCGGGGGAUCGAAAGACCUCGCGUCUGAAGAGGAGCCUGCGGCGGAUUAGCAGUUGGUAAGGUAACGGCUUACCAAGGCGACGAUCCGUAGCCGGCCUGAGAGGGCGGUCGGCCACACUGACACUGACAUACGGGUCAGACUCCUACGGGAGGCAGCAGUCGGGAAUUUGGGCAAUGGGCGAAAGCCUGACCCAGCAACGCCGCGUGAA